CUGAGUACGGCGGAACACGUGAAAUUCCGUCGGAAUCCGGGAGGACCAUCUCCCAAGGCUAAAUACUCCCUAGUGACCGAUAGUGAACCAGUACCGUGAGGGAAAGGUGAAAAGCACCCCGGAAGGGGAGUGAAACAGUUCCUGAAACCGUGUGCCUACAAGUAGUUAGAGCCCGUUAAUGGGUGAUAGCGUGCCUUUUGUAGAAUGAACCGGCGAGUUACGAUUUGUUGCAAGGUUAAGCGGAAAAAGCGGAGCCGUAGCGAAAGCGAGUCUGAAUAGGGCGCAUAAGUAACAGGUCGUAGACCCGAAACCAGGUGAUCUACCCAUGUCCAGGAUGAAGGUAAGGUAAUACUUACUGGAGGUCCGAACCCACGCACGUUGAAAAGUGCGGGGAUGAGGUGUGGGUAGCGGAGAAAUUCCAAUCGAACUUGGAGAUAGCUGGUUCUCUCCGAAAUAGCUUUAGGGCUAGCCUCGAGGUAAAGAGUCAUGGAGGUAGAGCACUGUUUGGACUAGGGGCCCUUCUCGGGUUACCGAAUUCAGAUAAACUCCGAAUGCCAUGUACUUAUACUCGGGAGUCAGACUGCGAGUGAUAAGAUCCGUAGUCGAAAGGGAAACAGCCCAGACCACCAGUUAAGGUCCCCAAAUAUAUGUUAAGUGGAAAAGGAUGUGGGGUUGCUUAGACAACCAGGAUGUUGGCUUAGAAGCAGCCACCAUUGAAAGAGUGCGUAAUAGCUCACUGGUCGAGUGACCCCGCGCCGAAAAUGUACCGGGGCUAAACAUAUUACCGAAACUGUGGAUGAACCUCUUUAGAGGUUCGUGGUAGGAGAGCGUUCUAAGGGCGGUGAAGUCAGACCGGAAGGACUGGUGGAGCGCUUAGAAGUGAGAAUGCCGGUAUGAGUAGCGAAAGAAGGGUGAGAAUCCCUUCCACCGAAUAUCUAAGGUUUCCUGAGGAAGGCUCGUCCGCUCAGGGUUAGUCGGGACCUAAGCCGAGGCCGAUAGGCGUAGGCGAUGGACAACAGGUAGAGAUUCCUGUACCAGUGCUAAUUGUUUAACCGAUGGGGUGACACAGAAGGAUAGGGAAUCGCACGAAUGGAAAUGUGCGUCCAAGCAGUGAGUGUGAGAAGUAGGCAAAUCCGCUUCUCGCGAAGCAUGAGCUGUGAUGGGGAAGGAAAUUAAGUACGGAAGUUCCUGAUUUCACGCUGUCAAGAAAAGCCUCUAGGAAGAGUAGUACUGCCCGUACCGCAAACCGACACAGGUAGAUGAGGAGAGAAUCCUAAGGUGAGCGAGAGAACUCUCGUUAAGGAACUCGGCAAAAUGACCCCGUAACUUCGGGAGAAGGGGUGCUCUAUUAGGGUGCAAGCCCGAGAGAGCCGCAGUGAAUAGGCCCAGGCGACUGUUUAGCAAAAACACAGGUCUCUGCAAAACCGUAAGGUGACGUAUAGGGGCUGACGCCUGCCCGGUGCUGGAAGGUUAAGAGGAGUGCUUAGCUUCGGCGAAGGUACGAAUUGAAGCCCCAGUAAACGGCGGCCGUAACUAUAACGGUCCUAAGGUAGCGAAAUUCCUUGUCGGGUAAGUUCCGACCCGCACGAAAGGCGCAACGAUCUGGGCACUGUCUCAACGAGAGACUCGGUGAAAUUAUAGUACCUGUGAAGAUGCAGGUUACCCGCGACAGGACGGAAAGACCCCGUGGAGCUUUACUGCAACCUGAUAUGGAAUGUUUGUACCGCUUGUACAGGAUAGGUAGGAGCCGAAGAGACGUGUGCGCUAGCAUACGAGGAGGCAAUGGUGGGAUACUACCCUGGCUGUAUGACCAUUCUAACCCGCCACGCUUAGCGCGUGGGGAGACAGUGUCAGGUGGGCAGUUUGACUGGGGCGGUCGCCUCCUAAAGAGUAACGGAGGCGCCCAAAGGUUCCCUCAGAAUGGAUGGAAAUCAUUCGCAGAGUGUAAAGGCACAAGGGAGCUUGACUGCGAGACUGACAAGUCGAGC
rnacentral:rRNA from 1 species